UUAAUAAGGGUUGGUUUACUUAUUUAAAAAAAAAAAAAUAGGUUCUUUCAAUCAUCUAGUUUAUCAACAACAAGUAGGAUGAAUAGCAAUUGUUUCUCUUUGCCGUGCAUUUCGGUAAAUUGAAGAUAAAUUUGAGUUAUAUUGAAAGAGAUUUUCAUUGAAGAGACUUUGCAAGUGAAUGAUUCGCACUAUAAAAUUCUUAUAUGAAAACUUAUCUACUUCCCCAUUUCCAAUUCAAGUGUGUGGAAUCGCAAACGCAUAUUGAGUUACAGGAGCAAAGGUCAAAAAUGAAAGGUAUGGUAUUUAGUUCAUUCGUUUAUUUAUUUUGACGAUUUGUUCAAAUAGGAUAUCUGAGUUGGUGCUUUCUUUGAAAAAAAAAAAUGAUUGAUUAUUAGGUGAUGAAACAAUUUAAUGAGAUCAGAUUUGGUGCAGAUGCAGAUUCUUUGGUGCAAUUGUUCAUGGCUAGGAUAUAUAUAGUAAGUGUAAAAGGUUGAGUUAUAAUUGAUUUGUACUUGGUAUUUAUGUGUUGGUACAUAGUUGCUAGUCUUGUAGUAUUCAAUUGUGCAAAUUUAAUCUAGGUAUUUUUAGUUAACCUUGAGAUAUUUUGGUGUGGAGGAGAUCCAUAUGACUUUUUGAUUGUAUUAAAAUGAUGUAUGGUACUCUGCCCAUUUUAAACCUUUGCUAAUAAGUUCUUAAUUAUAUAUAUAAAAAAAUUUGAGCAAUUGAUUGAUUCUAUGAAACAUGUUUAAUUAUGAGGGAGUUAUAAGUCCCUGAAACCAAAAAAAUGGUGAUUAUUCAGUCCGAAUCAAAUGUGGAUAAAGCCGAUUCGACACAU
rnacentral:lncRNA from 1 species